UCGAUCCUCGUACGAUAGAGAAAAAGAAAUACAAAUGGGAACAGCCCCAAGGUCGAUAGAUGAUCUAGUGGCCGUCGCCUCUUGUUGUUCAGCGGGAAGAGAAAUCACCACCGAUGCUUUACUUGUCCGGAGAGGAGGAUGAAGCGAGGGCAGUAAGGGCUGCUUGAGCAGCUCUUGUGCUCUUCUGACUCGGAAGGAGGGUGCGAAGGCAGGGGGCUCGGUGGGGCUAAGAGAAUGCGAAGGGAAGGAGGCCAGAAAAGGGUUCGGUGGAACAAUAGUGUCGCAGGUGGUGUGUUCGAUAGUGUUUGCUCGACGGGUAAAAAGGAAUGGGUCUCCGAAAAAGAACGAGGGAAGCUGCCAUGAAGAAGAAGGAAGAAAAGAACAAAGGAAGAAUGAAAGGGAAGCUGUGGUUCUUCUUGUUUGCAGGUAGACACGAGAUCAAGAACAAAAUGCUCUUGGCUGGAAACUAAGAAUGCAAACAGAAAAAAAAAAAAAAAUACGAAUCCAUAAAUUUUAAGUUUCAGAUUCCAAUUGUUGAUUUUUAUCAUUGUACAUGUUUUGGUUUGUGUGUGAGUGUAGUUUUGGUUAAGAGAAGAGUGCAUGUGUAAUUUUGGAUGUGGAGUUAGCUGUGUUUUGAGUAUAGCAUGUGUAUUUUGUGUGAAACCUGUAAAUAAUGAAUUUCCUUAUGUAUUUUGUGUAUGUAUUGUUAUCUAUUUCUAGUAGACUUAAUGUAUAUUUCUAGGUUUAAUAAUAUUGUAUUUAUGUGUGUA